UGAACCUGUACUUCCAGCAAGUGUUGGGGAAGUAGACAGGCCAAGACCAUGGAAAAUAAGUGAAGCUGAGCAAAUCAACAACACAAUUUGGUGGUAUCGCUACACAGCUGAUCAGAACUUUGUUCGAUAGGUACCGGAAUGACUG